rnacentral:rRNA from 1 species
UACAGAGGGUGCAAGCGUUGUUCGGAAUUAUUGGGCGUAAAGCGCGCGUAGGCGGCCCUGUAAGUCCGUUGUGAAAGUCAAAGGCUCAACCUUUGAAAGCCGAUGGAUACUGCAGGGCUAGAGUCCGGAAGAGGCGAGUGGAAUUCCUGGUGUAGCGGUGGAAUGCGCAGAUAUCAGGAGGAACACCAAUAGCGAAGGCAGCUCGCUGGGACGGUACUGACGCUAAGGCGCGAAAGCGUGGGGAGCGAACAGG